rnacentral:lncRNA from 1 species
UGAUCUAUUGUUUUGAAUUCUUUAUAUUCCAACUUUUUAGCAACUGUAUGGUGGAAAAAGGUGUCUUACAACCUUAACCUAUGUUUGGACAGUUCUCUCGUGCAAUUUGGCUAAAUUUCCCAUGGUCUUUAUUUUGUUUUGAGAAACGAUGUGGUAUAAUGAUGUGCGAUGUUUUACUUGAGUGGACAUAAACACCAUUUAGGUAUGCCUUGAAUAGAGGGGAUUAUUGGAAACCAGGUAUCACAAAAGGUCAUUAGCUAGCCCAAUAACGUCUUCAUCCACUAGUUAUAUUCUAAUACCCUCUAGUGUGAAUAUAAUGCCCACAAUAUCAUAGAAACGUCAUUUGAGGUUUAAAAGGUGAUCUAUUGUUUUGAAUUCUUUAUAUUACAACUUUUUAUCAACUGUAUGGUGGAAAAAGGUGCCUUACAACCUUAACCUAUGUUUGGAUAGUUUUCUCUCUCAAUUUGGCUAAAUUUUUUAUGUUCUUUAUUUUUUGUUGAGAAACAAUGUGGCAAAUUGAUGUGUGGUGUUUUACUUGAGUGGACAUAAACACCGUCUAAGGAUGCCAUGAAUAGACGGGAUUAUAGGAAACCUGUUAUCACAAAAGGUCAUUAGCUAGCCCACUAAUGUCUUCAUCCACUAGUUGUACUCUAAUACCCUCUCGUGCAAAUACAAUGCCCUCAAUAUCAUAGAAACACUAUUUUUGUGUGGUGUUUUACUUGAGUGGACAUAAACACCAUCUAAGAAUGCCAUGAAUAGACGGGAUUAUUGGAAACCAGGUAUCACAAAAGGUCAUUAGCUUGCCCAAUAACGUCUUCAUCCACUAGUUGUACUCUAAUGCCCUCUAGUGUGAAUACAAUGCCCACAAUAUCAUAGAAAUGUCAUUUGAGGUUUAAAAGGUGAUCUAUUGUUUUGAAUUCUUUAUAUUCCAACUUUUUAGCUACUAUAUGGUGGAAAAAAGUUGUCUUACAACCUUAACCUAUGUUUGGACAGUUCACUCACGCAAUUUGGCUAAAUUUUCCAUAGUCUUCAUUUUAUUUUGAGAAACGAUGUGGUAUAUUGAUGUGUGGUGUUUUACUUGAGUGGACAUAAACACAAUCUAAGGAUGCCAUGAAUAGACGGGAUUAUAGUUAACAUAGCCCACUAAUGUCUUCAUCCACUAGUUGUACUCUAAUACCCUCUCGUGCGAAUACAAUGCCCUCAAUAUCAUAGAAACACUAUUUUUGUGUGGUGUUUUACUUGAGUGGACAUAAACACCAUCUAAGGAUGCCAUGAAUAGACGGGAUUAUUGGAAACCAGGUAUCACAAAAGGUCAUUAGCUAGCCCAAUAACGUCUUCAUCCACUAGUUGUACUCUAAUACCCUCUCGUGCGAAUACAAUGCCCUCAAUAUCAUAGAAACACUAUUUUUGUGUGGUGUUUUACUUGAGUGGACAUAAACACCAUCUAAGGAUGCCAUGAAUAGACGGGAUUAUUGGACAUAAACACCAUCUAAGGAUGCCAUGAAUAGACGGGAUUAUUGGAAACCAGGUAUCACAAAAGGUCAUUAGCUAGCCCAAUAACGUCUUCAUCCACUAGUUGUACUCUAAUACCCUCUAGUGUGAAUACAAUGCCCACAAUAUCAUAGAAACGUCAUUUGAGGUUUAAAAGGUGAUCUAUUGUUUUGAAUUCUUUAUAUUCCAACUUUUUAGCAACUGUAUGGUGGAAAAAGGUGUCUUACAACCUUAACCUAUGUUUGGACAGUUCUCUCGUGCAAUUUGGCUAAAUUUCCCAUGGUCUUUAUUUUAUUUUGAGAAACGAUGUGGUAUAAUGAUGUGCGAUGUUUUACUUAAGUGGACAUAAACACCAUUUAGGUAUGCCUUGAAUAGAGGGGAUUAUUGGAAACCAGGUAUCACAAAAGGUCAUUAGCUAGCCCAAUAACGUCUUCAUCCACUAGUUAUACUCUAAUACCCUCUAGUGUGAAUACAAUGCCCACAAUAUCAUAGAAACGUCAUUUGAGGUUUAAAAGGUGAUCUAUUGUUUUGAAUUCUUUAUAUUACAACUUUUUAUCAACUGUAUGGUGGAAAAAGGUGCCUUAGAACCUUAACCUAUGUUUGGAUAGUUUUCUCUCUCAAUUUGGCUAAAUUUUUUAUGUUCUUUAUUUUAUUUUGAGAAACAAUGUGGCAAAUUGAUGUGUGGUGUUUUACUUGAGUGGACAUAAACACCGUCUAAGGAUGCCAUGAAUAGACGGGAUUAUAGGAAACCUGUUAUCACAAAAGGUCAUUAGCUAGCCCACUAAUGUCUUCAUCCACUAGUUGUACUCUAAUACCCUCUCGUGCGAAUACAAUGCCCUCAAUAUCGUAGAAACACUAUUUUUGUGUGGUGUUUUACUUGAGUGGACAUAAACACCAUCUAAGAAUGCCAUGAAUAGACGGGAUUAUUGGAAACCAGGUAUCACAAAAGGUCAUUAGCUUGCCCAAUAACGUCUUCAUCCACUAGUUGUACUCCAAUACCCUUUAGUGUGAAUACAAUGCCCACAAUAUCAUAGAAACGUCAUUUGAGGUUUAAAAGGUGAUCUAUUGUUUUGAAUUCUUUAUAUUCCAACUUUUUAGCUACUAUAUGGUGGAAAAAAGUUGUCUUACAACCUUAACCUAUGUUUGGACAGUUCACUCACGCAAUUUGGCUAAAUUUUCCAUAGUCUUCAUUUUAUUUUGAGAAACGAUGUGGUAUAUUGAUGUGUGGUGUUUUACUUGAGUGGACAUGAACACAAUCUAAGGAUGCCAUGAAUAGACGGGAUUAUAGUUAACAUAGCCCACU